AUUUUUUUUACAUACUAGCAAAUGUGCCACAUCAGCUAUUGAUGGUUGACAGUUCAACCAUUGUAUUUUAUGGAACCUAGGAUGGAGAGGGAUGUAGACUUAAGCAGAUAAGACAAGAAGUCAUAAAUAACUCAACCAAUGUACACGAUAAGACCAAAUAUUUUCUUCAUCUCUAGUGACUUAUCUUUGCGUAGCUCUCAAAUCCUCUGGACUCAUAAAUCCUCUCUUUCUAUGAUGAUAAUCAGAACAUUACUACAUUGCACUUCCACUCUAAAAAAAUGAUUCAUGGGGUUAGUUUGUAAAACUUAAAAUAAACAAUAUUUUCAGCAUAAAAUAAUUAAGUUUGUAAUAUGUACUUGUAUUGUGAGCAUCCUUUAAAUGCUGAGUAAAGGCGGAAUUUGCCCGGACGUGUUUUCUGCCAGAGAAGGACUACUAGGAGCCGGAGAAACAGGAGAAUCGAGGCUAUAUAGGAUGAUGAGGUGCCACAAAUUUUGACCCAGCCAACGCCAGUAUUAUUAUUGAGGGAACGGAAGUCUUGCAAGACCUGGAUGUAUCCAGAGCCUGUGCCCUGCUAGGGCUGGUAUAUGCUCUCAACCUCAGCUACCCAAAGGAACUAAAAAAUACUUUUGAGGUGUUUCAGAAAAUAAUUCUUGAGCUGGAUGGUCUGAAAGCUAGGCCGAAGGUAAUGUCUUUAAACAAUAAACUGUUGUAUUCCUGAAA